rnacentral:rRNA from 1 species
GAUGAACGCUGGCGGCGUGCCUAAUACAUGCAAGUCGAGCGAACAGACGAGGAGCUUGAUCCUCUGACGUUAGCGGCGGACGGGCGAGUAACACGUGGAUAACCUACCUAUAAGACUGGGAUAACUUCGGGAAACCGGAGCUAAUACCGGAUAAUAUAUUGAACCGCAUGGUUCAAUAGUGAAAGACGGUUUUGCUGUCUCUUAUAGCUGGAUCCGCGCCGCAUUAGCUAGUUGGUAAGGUAACGGCUUACCAAGGCAACGAUGCGUAGCCGACCUGAGAGGGUGAUCGGCCACACUGGAACUGAGACACGGUCCAGACUCCUACGGGAGGCAGCAGUAGGGAAUCUUGCGCAAUGGGCGAAAGCCUGACGGAGCAACGCCGCGUGAGUGAUGAAGGUCUUCGGAUCGUAAAACUCUGUUAUUAGGGAAGAACAAAUGUGUAAGUAACUAUGCACGUCUUGACGGUACCUAAUCAGAAAGCCACGGCUAACUACGUG